UGCAAGUCGAACGAACUCUGGUAUUGAUUGGUGCUUGCAUCAUGAUUUACAUUUGAGUGAGUGGCGAACUGGUGAGUAACACGUGGGAAACCUGCCCAGAAGCGGGGGAUAACACCUGGAAACAGAUGCUAAUACCGCAUAACAACUUGGACCGCAUGGUCCGAGCUUGAAAGAUGGCUUCGGCUAUCACUUUUGGAUGGUCCCGCGGCGUAUUAGCUAGAUGGUGGGGUAACGGCUCACCAUGGCAAUGAUACGUAGCCGACCUGAGAGGGUAAUCGGCCACAUUGGGACUGAGACACGGCCCAAACUCCUACGGGAGGCAGCAGUAGGGAAUCUUCCACAAUGGACGAAAGUCUGAUGGAGCAACGCCGCGUGAGUGAAGAAGGGUUUCGGCUCGUAAAACUCUGUUGUUAAAGAAGAACAUAUCUGAGAGUAACUGUUCAGGUAUUGACGGUAUUUAACCAGAAAGCCACGGCUAACUACGUGCCAGCAGCCGCGGUAAUACGUAGGUGGCAAGCGUUGUCCGGAUUUAUUGGGCGUAAAGCGAGCGCAGGCGGUUUUUUAAGUCUGAUGUGAAAGCCUUCGGCUCAACCGAAGAAGUGCAUCGGAAACUGGGAAACUUGAGUGCAGAAGAGGACAGUGGAACUCCAUGUGUAGCGGUGAAAUGCGUAGAUAUAUGGAAGAACACCAGUGGCGAAGGCGGCUGUCUGGUCUGUAACUGACGCUGAGGCUCGAAAGUAUGGGUAGCAAACAGGAUUAGAUACCCUGGUAGUCCAUACCGUAAACGAUGAAUGCUAAGUGUUGGAGGGUUUCCGCCCUUCAGUGCUGCAGCUAACGCAUUAAGCAUUCCGCCUGGGGAGUACGGCCGCAAGGCUGAAACUCAAAGGAAUUGACGGGGGCCCGCACAAGCGGUGGAGCAUGUGGUUUAAUUCGAAGCUACGCGAAGAACCUUACCAGGUCUUGACAUACUAUGCAAAUCUAAGAGAUUAGACGUUCCCUUCGGGGACAUGGAUACAGGUGGUGCAUGGUUGUCGUCAGCUCGUGUCGUGAGAUGUUGGGUUAAGUCCCGCAACGAGCGCAACCCUUAUUAUCAGUUGCCAGCAUUAAGUUGGGCACUCUGGUGAGACUGCCGGUGACAAACCGGAGGAAGGUGGGGAUGACGUCAAAUCAUCAUGCCCCUUAUGACCUGGGCUACACACGUGCUACAAUGGAUGGUACAACGAGUUGCGAACUCGCGAGAGUAAGCUAAUCUCUUAAAGCCAUUCUCAGUUCGGAUUGUAGGCUGCAACUCGCCUACAUGAAGUCGGAAUCGCUAGUAAUCGCGGAUCAGCAUGCCGCGGUGAAUACGUUCCCGGGCCUUGUACACACCGCCCGUCACACCAUGAGAGUUUGUAACACCCAAAGUCGGUGGGGUAACCUUUU
rnacentral:rRNA from 1 species